rnacentral:rRNA from 1 species
UACAGAGGGUGCAAGCGUUAAUCGGAAUUACUGGGCGUAAAGGGCGUGUAGGUGGUUGCUUAAGUUAGAUGUGAAAGCCCUGGGCUCAACCUGGGAAUUGCAUCUAAAACUGGGUAGCUAGAGUAUGGUAGAGGGAAGUGGAAUUUCUAGUGUAGCGGUGAAAUGCGUAGAUAUUAGAAAGAACACCAGUGGCGAAGGCGGCUUCCUGGACCAAUACUGACACUGAGGCGCGAAAGCGUGGGGAGCGAAC